CCUACGGGGGGCUGCAGUGGGGAAUAUUGGACAAUGGGCGAAAGCCUGAUCCAGCCAUGCCGCGUGUGUGAAGAAGGCCUUCGGGUUGUAAAGCACUUUCAGUGGGGAAGAAAGCCUUGGGGCUAAUACCCUCGAGGAAGGACAUCACCCACAGAAGAAGCACCGGCUAACUCCGUGCCAGCAGCCGCGGUAAUACGGAGGGUGCGAGCGUUAAUCGGAAUUACUGGGCGUAAAGCGCGCGUAGGCGGUCUGAUAAGCCGGUUGUGAAAGCCCCGGGCUCAACCUGGGAAUGGCAUCCGGAACUGUCAGGCUAGAGGGCAGGAGAGGAAGGUAGAAUUCCCGGUGUAGCGGUGAAAUGCGUAGAGAUCGGGAGGAAUACCAGUGGCGAAGGCGGCCUUCUGGACUGACACUGACGCUGAGGUGCGAAAGCGUGGGUAGCAAACAGGAUUAGAUACCCCAGUAGUC
rnacentral:rRNA from 1 species